rnacentral:rRNA from 1 species
UACAGAGGGUGCGAGCGUUGUCCGGAAUCACUGGGCGUAAAGGGCGCGUAGGUGGUGGCUUAAGCGUGCGGUGAAAAGCUCGGAGCUCAACUCCGAGUCGGCCGUGCGAACUGGGCUCACUGGAGCAUAGUAGAGGCAGGUGGAAUUCCGGGUGUAGCGGUGGAAUGCGUAGAGAUCCGGAAGAACACCGGUGGCGAAGGCGGCCUGCUGGGCUAUGGCUGACACUGAGGCGCGACAGCGUGGGGAGCAAACAGGG